CUGCUGCCUCCCGUAGGAGUUUGGUCCGUGUCUCAGUACCAAUGUGGGGGGUUAACCUCUCAGUCCCCCUAUGUAUCGUUGUCUUGGUGAGCCGUUACCCCACCAACUAACUAAUACAACGCAUGCCCAUCCAUUACCACCGGAGUUUUCAACCCAAGAAGAUGCCUCCCUGGAUGUUAUGGGGUAUUAGUACCGAUUUCUCAGUGUUACCUCCCCUGUAAGUGGGUAGGUUGCAUACGUCGUUACGCCACCCGUGCGCCGGUCGCCGACGUAGA
rnacentral:rRNA from 1 species